rnacentral:rRNA from 1 species
UUAUCCGGAUUUAUUGGGUUUAAAGGGUGCGUAGGCGGUUUGAUAAGUUAGAGGUGAAAUCCCGGGGCUUAACUCCGGAACUGCCUCUAAUACUGUUAGACUAGAGAGUAGUUGCGGUAGGCGGAAUGUAUGGUGUAGCGGUGAAAUGCUUAGAGAUCAUACAGAACACCGAUUGCGAAGGCAGCUUACCAAACUAUAUCUGACGUUGAGGCACGAAAGCGUGGGGAGCAAACAGGAUUAGAUACCCUGGUAGUCCACGCAGGAAACGAUGAUAACUCGUUGUCGGCGAUACACAGUCGGUGACUAAGCGAAAGCGAUAAGUUAUCCACCUGGGGAGUACGUUCGCAAGAAUGAAACUCAA